AGCUAACUGAACUUUCUCACGCCAUCCAGCUUCGCCUGUGGUAGCCGGAGGUUCUUCGACGCCGCGCCGCCGCUGCUUCCUCAGCAGCCGCCGUCGCAUCGAAAGCUCUCGUUUCCAUAACCCUAGAACAAGCGAUUUGAUAUCAAAGUUGCUGAUGGCAUCAAUUCCAGUAAAGUUCUAAUUUUAAUGUAGAAAAUCUGCAUUCGUGCAGGUUUUUGAAAGAAGAAUAGUUUAUUAUACAAUGCAAUUUCUCCGCAGAGAUGGAGUAUUCUUCCAGUGAAGAUGAUGAGAUGGUUGAGGACAAUAUGGUUUUUGACGACGCUGAUCAGCAAGCAGAUGAAGUCAUUGCACCACUUCCAAUUGUUUCUCAUGGUGGCUGCGCACUAGCAUCAGUCAUCCAGAAUGCCAUGGAAAAUGGACUACUUGAUGUUGCAGAUUGUGAUGAGAGAAACCAGGUACCAUCUCUAGGUAUGGAGUUUGAAUCAGAGGCAUGUGCACGAGCAUUUUACAAUGCCUAUGCAUUGCGUCUUGGCUUCAACAUUCGAGCGAGGGAAAGGGGUUGAGGUGUUGAUCAUGAAGAGGUUUGUGUGCCUAAAAGAGGGCCAUCACAAGAAGAAGAAGGUUGCUGAGAACAGCACCAGAAAGAAGCGUAAGCGCCUUUUGAUAAGGGAUGGUUGCCCGGCAAUGAUGGAGGUUGUUCACGGGGGGCCUGGUAAGUGGAUUAUCAGUAAGUUGGUGUUGGAGCACACCCACAUAGUGGUUAGUCCUGAGAGAGUUCGUGAGAUCCAGCUUAGUCAUGUCUCUGGCAAGGAUAGGGAGCACAAGGACUACUUGAAAGAGAUGCGGCGAAGAGUCUUCCGUGAAGGAGAUGCGCAAAUCCUUGUUGAUUAUUUCAGGAAGAUGCAGGCAGAGAAUGCCGGCUGCUUUUAUGCAAUGCAGGUUGAUAACAGAAACUGCAUGACCAAUGUGUAGGGAGAAUAAGAACAUGAUGCCAUUUGCUGCGUUCGCAGGUUUAAAUCAUCACGUGCAGACGAUUGUAUUUGCUUGUGCUGUGGUUAUGGACGAGACAGAAUCCUCGUUUACUUGGAUGUUUGAAACAUGGCCGACAGCAAUGUGUGGCCAGCGACCUCUGACAAUUACUACUGAUCAAGGCAAGGCGGUCGAAGCAGCAGUUGCCAAGGUGUUUCCUUAGACAUGUCAUCGCUUAUGCAGAUGGAGAAUCCUAUCUAGAUGCAAAAGGAAAUUAUCCGAUGUCUACAGCAGGUACACUGACCUACAUGAUGAACUAAAAAUGUUCAUUAAUGAGGCUGAGAAUGUGGAGACGUUUGAGGUUUAUUGGAGGGCAAUUCUCGAUAAAUAUAAUAUCAGUGAGAACCCAUGGUUGCAAAUACUAUAUGCUAUUCGUCAUAGAUGGAUUCCAGCCUAUCUAAAAGAUUCCUUCUUUGUAGAGUUAUCUACUCGAUGUGUUGUCACAGCGUGCUCUUUGCAAAUGUUUAUUGCACAACAAGACCAGGAAAUAGAUAGCCGAUAUGCAAAGGAAUCCCAAGAAGAUCAUGCUACUUUGAACAUCCAACAAAUUCUUAAAACUCAGUCAGCUAUGGAGAAACAGCCAGCCAACAUUUACACGAGGGCGGUGUUUGAGAAGUUCCAAGAAGAACUAGUCGAAGCGUUCAGCUACUAUCCUGUCACAAUUCAAGAUGGUCCCACAAACAAAUUUACUGUUGCAAGGGAUGGCGAUGCUAGUAAUUGACAUUUUGUGGUUUUCAAGGAAUCUGAGAAGAAAGCAUAGUGCAAUUGCUUUAAAUAUGAAGGAUCAGAGAUACCUUGCAGGCAUUUACUUGGACUUUUUCGUAGUGUGUGGCGCAUUUCGUCUUCCUGAAUAUUGCAUCCUGAAAAGGUGGACUAGAAAAGCUAAGAAUGGCUUGAUGCUACAAGAAAGUGAUCAUGAAGGUCAAUAUUUAGAGGAAUCUCCCAUCGUGUGGUACAAUGAUCUAUUGUAUUAUGCCAUGAAGAGUGCUGAGAGAAGGGAGCAGUCUCUACAGAGGCAUACAGGAUAGCAAAGAGUAUGCUACAAACUGUCUUUGCUGAAAUUUUAGGUUUUGAGGAAACUGAGAGAAAAGAGAUGAUCCCUCAUGUGGAGAAGGUCCAAACCUGAAUCGAUUGAAUAGGAUUCACCACUCUUUUUUAAUUGCAUUAAUUCGUUUUCAAGGCAGAUAAAUUUUGCAAUACUCCAAUUUGCAAAUUGCCAAUUUUCCUUUCUGUAAUUUUCCAAUAGGAUUGGAUCUUCAUUCCGGACUCAAACUUCUGUCAACACUUGGAAAUACCAAUUGCCAUGUGAAUGUAACCAGCCGAAUCAUGCUAGGGGAACUUCACAUAGAACUCACUUUAGUGAAUUGCUUUUAGUGGUAACAAACAAUUUUUGUUCUACAAUUGCAGAAGGCGUCAAUUAAUGUCUAUGUUUGAAUUGUAAGCUUCGAGUUUGAGUGUGGCUCUCGAGACAUGUCUAACUUAAGUAACUUUCAAAUGGUGACAAUAUGACUUGAAAGGCAAUGUUGAGGAGAACCAUUUCACUUCAAGUGCGAAGAAGCAUUUCCACCGCAUUACACCACUAUCCUAAACAAACUGAUUGUACUUUGACUGAUCGAAAAUCACUUGAAAUGAGCUGUAGUUAGAGCUCUUAAAAUUCCUUCAUGCUUAUUGCAUCUAUCGAGCACAACUAAACCCCUCAAAUCUGAGUGUAACCGACCCCAACAAUGAGGUCUAAA